GUAGGGGGCGAGCGUUGUCCGGAUUUAUUGGGCGUAAAGAGCUCGUAGGCGGCUCGGUAAGUCGGGUGUGAAAACUCUAGGCUCAACCUAGAGACGCCACCCGAUACUGCUGUGGCUAGAGUCCGGUAGGGGAGCAUGGAAUUCCUGGUGUAGCGGUGAAAUGCGCAGAUAUCAGGAGGAACACCAGUGGCGAAGGCGGUGCUCUGGGCCGGUACUGACGCUGAGGAGCGAAAGCGUGGGGAGCAAACAGGAUUAGAUACCCUGGUAGUCCACGCAGUAAACGAUGCAUACCCGGUGUGUGGUGACGGUUUAACCCGUCGCUGCGUGCCUCAGCUUACGCGUUGAGUAUGCCGCCUGGGGACUACGAGCGCAAGCUUA
rnacentral:rRNA from 1 species